UUUUUUUUUUCCUUUUUAAUCUUUGGAUCGAAUCAUUGCUUAGUUCUUGCUUAAUUUCUCCAUUUUAUGGUGGGUCUUUGAUUGCAGGUUUAGCUCUGCGCGAGAACUGGGAAAUUUAAUUGUGACCUCCAAUCUAAUCGACUCUGCUUUGACUAAAAUUCUUGAGCUUCAAAGAGACCAAACAGCCUUGCCUUCCCCCGUUCAAUACAGAGUUUUUUAUCCAUCUCCCAAGUGCACAAUUGUAGCUUUUGUCUCUUCACCUGACUGCACUCAAAACCCUCUUCCUGGACAAGGAGAUUUAGUUCCCUCUCCUCUCUUUGACUUCCUCUGCACCGAAGAAUACCCUUCCGUCUCCAUUAACGGAGCCGCAUUAACCCUCUUUACCUCUCUCUACGAUCAUCUCUCUGGACUAAUAGAUGAGGUCAAAAUCUGAUACUUGUUUUAAUUUACGUUAACUUUUCGUUAACAAUUGUGAGACACGAAACAGCUUGACCAUGAGAUCUCCCUCAUGGAGUCAAAACCCGUGUUGGUAUCUGUUUUUAGAUCAACUUAUAUAUAUAUAUAUAUAUAUAUAUAUAUAUCUUGUGGAUAAAAGGAAAGUUUACAAGUGAGAAUAGUGGCAUUUUUCUGACAGAUUUCACACCGUUGCUUGUUUUGCAGUUGACUGUGAUUGAAGGUCGAUUAAUCAUCACUGGGCACUCGAUGGGAGGAUCCGUUGCUUCUCUCUUCACCUUAUGCCUGCUAGAAGUCAUUAAUAUAUCAAAACCCAAAUGCCGCCCCAUUUGCAUCACCUUUGGUUCACCCCUCAUAGGCGACUUUGGCCUCCAACACUCCAAUUGGAAUUCUUUCUUCUUGCAUGUAGUGUCCAACCAAGAUCUAGUCCCCGGACUCUUCCUCCCAUCCGGCAGAUCUCCUCCCACAUCCUCCCAUUCACAAACUACUGGUUACAAGCCCUUUGGGACAUAUCUCUUGUGCUCUGAACUUGGUUGUGCUUGUUUUGACAACCCUGAUUUAAUUUUGGAAUUGCUGAAAGUCAUAUCAUCAGAGGUUGCCGGAGGAUUGCGGGAUGUUGAUUACAGGAAGAUUUUAAUAAACCUCAAGGAGAGGGCAAUCUUCAAGGGACUUCAGCAGGUGGGUGAAAGGUUUGCAGAUCCCUUGUCAGCUGGGAUCGUCAUGGACCUUGAGAUAAUUGGAUUUGAUCAAACAAAGGUAAACAGCUUUCUCCCAAUUAAUGAUGUAGUAUGGUUUACACUCAACUUCACCAAAACCUGCAACAACUGCCCUAUUUAGAUUUGCCUUCCUGUUCUUUGGGUUCUUCUAUAACUUCUCAUUUUUUAAAUUCAUGGCAGCUGUUGCGGCACAACAUUGAUAUCAACACUGUGAUAAGGAUACUGGGAGUGGAAGCCAGAAUCCUAGCCCACAAAAAUAAAGCUUCUGAUGCCAAGAAACUGAAUGACAUAAAAAUACACAUGGCCCAGCUAGAAUGGUAUAAGAAGAAAUCAAAAGAUCUGAACAAGGGUUACUACGACUGCUUCAAAAACCAGGGGUCAAAAAGGGACAUUAAAAUUGAACAGUAUAGGGGACACCUCACAAUAUACUGGAAAGACAUGGUUGCACAAGUACAGAGGAAGCCCCAGAAGGAAGGAGCAUCAUUUCGAACCAGUUGGCUCUAUCCAGGGACAACUUAUAGAAGAAUGGUUGAACCACUGGACAUUGCUGCCUUCUACAGAGAGGGUAGAACAGACUACAUAAACAAUGGAAGAUCUCCUCAUUACAAGCUGUUGCAGCAAUGGUAUGAGGAAGAUGUGAAGCCCCCAUCCAGAGAUAAGCUCGAUUCCAAGAAACUAAAGGUGUCUGGUAUCCUAACUGAGGAUUCUUUGUUUUGGGCACAUGUGGAGGAGGCUCUCUUGUCAUGCGAAUCGCUCAAGAGUGCAAACUCUACUCUUGAGCAGAGAAAAUCAUCAUGGGAUAAUCUGGUUAAGUUUGGGGAGUAUGUAAUGGAACAGAUUGGAAACUAUGCAGUGUCCCCUGAGAUUUUCUUGGGGGAAAGCAGCUUCAUGAAAUGGUGGGGAGUGUAUGAGGACUACAUAGAUGCUUCCAAUAAUUCCUAUGGGUCACCAUUGAUCAGCUUUAUGAAGAACCGUAGUUAUAGACUGUAUGGUUAGAGGGCAAUCCAGUUUGUGUAUUGUGUUUAUUGUAUUGUGAGCAUUCAAUAGAUAAAACUAGAAAGAGCGUGACCUUUUUAUGACAACUUUAGAAACCAGGGGUUAAAAGAGACAUUACAAACUGAAGUUUUUGAGAGGAAACCUCAAGAGUAUACUGGGAAGCCAUGGUGGAACAAGUAGAGAGGAAGCCUCAGAAGGAAGGAGCAAUGGUUGAACCACUUGACAUUGUUGCCUACUACAGGGAGGGUGUAAGAAACAACAUAACCGAGGGAAGAUCUGAACGUUAAACGUUGUCCAAUUAUUAUAAAUGUCUUAUACAUUACGUGUGAAAAUACCAAAAAAAAUUAUAUUCAACAUUUAUGUUUGUAUACAAGCAAUAUUUUGGAUAGUUUGAUAUAAAAAACAAAUGAAGAAAAUGAAGAAAAACAUACAAAUAUAUUUACAAUGGACAAACUUAUACAAUUAGUAUAAAUGUCUUGUAUAUUUAGUACAAAUGUCUCGUACUUUGUAAAAAUAUAAAAAUAUAGUAUUUGACUUUUAUAUAUGUGUGAAAAUGUAAAAAGAAAAAGAAAAAUAGUUAGAGCAUUUGGUACCGUGAGUGAUGACUUCACCUAAAGAAAGGUUAAUGAAUAUUAUGGUCUCGAUGGAAGAGCGACUCCGGUAAAAUAUAUGGAUUAAAUUGAUGCUUUUCUUUUGACGAUGAAGUAGUUGAGUUAUGAAUACGAGGUUUUGCUAACAGCAUUGAAGGCAAGGAUUCCCUAAUAUACUCCAAUUCAUAUUCAAUUUGUAGACCUUCAACUAACUACUCUUGCUAACGAGCAUAUCCAAGUCAAUACAUAAGAUUAAUUAAGAUUAAGUAUUACGUAUGAUAAUUGAAACCCUAUUUAAAUAAAUAAUGACACAUAUAUAAAAAAUAUAUAUAUUUUUAAAAAAAUAAAUAACAAUUUAGAGAAUUUCAUAACUUAGCAUCAAACCUAUUGUAAGAAAGAGUAUUAUACAAUGUAGGGUUUAGGAUCCAAGUCAACCUAAGAUCAAAUUUAAGUUUUAAGAUCAAUUCACAUUCAAAACUAAGGUUUUAAGUUUCAAAAAUAUAUUUCUUAAACCAAUUAAAUGGAAAAAAGAAAAUUACAAAGAAAAUUUCUCCCUCAUCAGUUUCUUUUAUCUUGAAAACUAAAGGAAAUAUAUAUCAAUAUUUGAGAUGGAAAUUCAUAAUCUUAGGUGGUGUUUGUUUUUUUGGCUUUUUGCUGAAAACUAUUUAGUUUUAGAAUUUAGGUUUUUUUUUUUUUUUACUUUUUCAUGACUUAUAAUAAACUUUUUACUAAAUAGAAAAAACCAAAAUAUGUGGUUUUUUCUAAAUAGAAAAAAUAACACAAUGGUUUUUUUUACUUUUUAAUACUUAAUAGAAAUAAAAUACUACAAAAACAAACAUCUUAAUAUUUAAUACUAUUAAGUAUUAAGGUUCUAUUUAGAAUUAAGUAAAAAAACAAACACCACCUUAGAAACACAAAGAACAAAGAGAGUAUGAAGAGACCAUACCAUGAGAGAUUUUCCGAAAGGUUGGUAAACCAUGGUAAUCACCUUUGAGUCUUGCUGAGAAAAACAAACCUUAUUUAUUUUUAUUUUUUUAUCAUUUUUUCUCUUGUGUGGUGUACAUUUAAGAAAAACAAAUCUCAAAAAAAAAAAAAAACACAAACCAAAUAAUGCCAGAAUUUGGGUUGAGAAACACCCAAAAGAUAGUGGCCCAAUACAUGUGCCUAAGAAAAUCUUCAUGAGCCGAUAAACAUAGUCACAAAACUAGUAACAGCCUUGUAGCCAUAGUUGGUGUAGUAUGAGCAAGUGGGGUAUGAAGUAGGUAGGUGAGUAUUGCAAUGAAAUUUCCAGCACUGCUUCCUGAAUUAAGAAAUCACAUACCCAAGUCUUAGUCGUCGUCGUCGUCGUACCGUGUGAGAACCGGGAAGAAUCUUUGCUCGUAGACUGGCUUUUGUAGUCUUUCUUUAACAAUUACAAGUUAUCUGAAUUCCCUUCAUCCUCCUAUAUAAUAUUGUUUUGGUCUUGUUCUUGUUGCAUUGUGGCUAGGCAUCUCCAUGGAAGGAAGGAGGAUGAAUCAAGUUCCUUUGUAUGAAUCAAUUUCUCUGCUCUUUUUUUUUUUCAAUCCUUGAAUCGAAUCAUUGCUUAGUUCUUGCUUUAAUUUCUCCAUUUUCUGUUGGGUCUUUGAUUGCAGGUUUAGCUCUGCAAGAGAACUGGGAAAUUUAAUUGUGACCUCCAAUCUAAUCGACUCUGCUUUGACUAAAAUUCUUGAGCUUCAAAGAGACCAAACAGCCUUGCUUUCCCCCGUUCAAUACAGAGUUUUUUUAUCCAUCUCCCAACUGCACAAUUGUAGCUUUUGUCUCUUCACCUGACUGCACUCAAAACCCUCUUCCUGGACAAGGAGAUUUAGUUCCCUCUCCUCUCUUUGACUUCCUCUGCACCGAAGAAUACAAGUCCGUCUCCAUUAACAGAGCUGCAUUAACCCUCUUUACCUCUCUCCACGAUCAUCUCUCUGGACUAAAAACUCAGGUCAAAAUAUGAUAGUUGUUUUUAUUUUCGUUUCCUUUUUGUUAACAAUUGUGAGACAUGAAACAGCUUGACCAUGAGAUCUCUCUCAUAGAGUCAAACUACCUGAAGAAGAAGAAGACGUUACACAUAUCCAUCUGCGUUGCAUCAUCGCAUUACCCAUUGAUCGGUUGUGAUUCAACUCUUAAUAGGAAGACAGUAGAACUGGUGUUGGUAUCUGUUUUUAGAUCAGCUUAUAUGUAUCUUGUUGCUAAAAAGGGAAUGUUUAGAAGUGAGAUUAAUGGGAUUAUUCUGACAUGGAUUUCAUAUGGUUACCUGUUUUGCAGUUGACUGUGAUUGAAGGUCAAUUAAUCAUCACUGGGCACUCCCUGGGAGGAGCCGUUGCUUCUCUCUUCACCUUAUGCCUGCUAGAUGAAAAUUUAUUAAAACCCAAAUGCCGCCCCUUUUGUAUCACCUUUGGUUCACCCCUCGUCGGCGGCUUUGGCCUCCAACACUCCAUAUGGAAUUCUUUCUUCCUGCAUGUAGUGUCUAACCAAGACCCAGUCCCCGGUCUCUUCCUCCCAUCUGGCAGAGGCAGAUCUACGCCCACAUCCUCCCAUUCACAAACUACCGGUUACAAGCCCUUUGGGACAUAUCUCUUGUGCUCUGAACUUGGUUGUGCUUGUUUUGACAACCCUGAUUUAAUUUUGGAAUUGCUGAAAGUCAUAUCAUCAGAGGUUGCCGGAGGAUUGCAGGAUGUUGAUUAUGGGGAGAUUUUAAGAAACCUCAAGGAGAGGGCAAUCUGCAAGGGACUUCCGCAGGUGGGUGAAAGGUUUGCAAAUCCAUUUUCAGCUGGGAUCAUCAUGGAACUUGAGACAAUUGGAUUUAAUCAAACAAAGGUAAACAGCUUUCUCCCAUCUAAUGAUGUUAUGGAACAUGGUUUACACCUCAUUAAAUACUGCAACAACUGCCCUAUUUAGAUUUACCUUCUUGUUCUUUGGGAUUUUCCAUAACUAGACUCAUUUUUUAAUUUCAUGGCAGCUGCUGCAGCAUAACAUUGAUAUCGAGACUGUGAUAAGCGCAAUGGAAGCGGAAGCAAGAAACCUAACCCAGAAAAAUAAAGCUUCCGAUGCCAAGAAACUGAAUGAAAUAAAAAUAGACAUGACCCGGCUAGAAUUGUAUAAGAAGAAUUCGAACAUGGGUUACUACGAUUGCUUCAAAAACCAGGGGUCUAAAAGGGACAUCCACGUUGAACAGUUUAGGGUAAACCUCACAGGGUACUGGGAAGGCAUGGUUGCACAAAUACAGAGGAAGCCUCAUAAGGAAGGAGCAACAUUUCGAACCCGUUGGCUCUAUGCAGGGACGGUUUAUAGAAGAAUGGUUGAACCACUGGACAUUGCUGCCUUCUACAGAGAGGGUAGAAAAGACUACAUGAAUAAAAGAUCUGCACAUUACAAGCUGUUGCAGGAAUGGUAUGAGGAAGAUGUGAAACCCCCCUCUAGAGAUAAGCUUGAUUCCAAGAAGCAAAAGGUGUCCAGUAUCCUAACUGAGGAUUCUUGCUUUUGGGCACAUGUGGAGGAGGCUAUCUUGUCAUGCGAAUUGCUCAAGAGUGAAAACUGUAAUCUUGAGGAGGGAAAAUCAUCAUGGGAUAAUCUGGUUAAGUUCGAGGAGUAUGUAAUGGAACAGAUUGACAACUAUGCAGUGUCCCCUGAGAUUUUCUUGGAGAAAAGCAGCUUCAUGAAAUGGAGGGGACUGUAUGAGGGCUACAUAGAUACUCGCAGUAAUUCCCAUAGCUCGCCAUUGAUCAGCUUUAUGAAGAAUCGUAGUUAUAGACAAUAUGGAUAGAGGGGUAAUCCAGUUUGUGUGUUGUGUGUAUUGUUUUGUGAGCAUUCAAUGGAUAGAACUAGAAAGAGUGUGACCUUUUCCUUUUUUUUUUCAGUUGCUGCCCAUAUUCUCAGCACUAUUUUCUUCCUUCUUUUCCUCAGUUUUUUUGUUAAGAAAUGAAUAUUAUGAUGUUGCCGGGAUGCACUUUCAUUUUUGUUCCAUUACAUUGUGUUUUAUUCAUAUCCUAAACAAAUAAAUGUAAACAAGAAAAUCAAAUGAGACUUCAAAGAGUCUGUUCCUUUUAAAGCAAGGGAAAAAAAGGACAUGUUUGUUUACUUCCACAGCUGGGUAGAUUCAACUCCACCAAAAUUGGCAACAACUUCCCAUUGAAAAAUUCCUUUUAAGCUUGAAUGACAUAAAACUAGAUAUGUUCCAGCUAGAAUGGUACAAGAAAGAAAUCAAAAGAUGAGCACAAUGGGUUAUUAUGACAGCUUUAGAAACCUGGGGUGUAAAAGAGACAUUAAAAUGGAACCGAGGGGAAGACAUUGUAGAACAAGUAAAGAGGAAGCCUCACCAGGAAGGGCAGCUUUGCAAACCCUCUGGCUCUGUACAGGAACGAAUUAUAGAAAGAUGGUUGAACCACUUGACAUUGCUGCCUACCACAGAGAGGGUGGAAGAAACUACAUAACCAAUGGAGGAUGUAAACAUUACACGCUAUUAGAGCAAUGAUGCAAUGAAGAGAAGGGGACUUUGUCUUCCAAUAAUUUAAGAAAAUAAAACCAAAUAAUGCCAGAAUUUGGGUUGAGAAACACCCAAAAGAUAGUGGCCCAAUAUGAAGUAGUCACAAAACUAGUAACAGCCUUGUGGCCAUAGUUGGUGUAGUAUGAGCAAGUGGGGUAUGAAGUAGGUAGGUGAGUAUUGCAAUGAAAUUUCCAGCACUGCUUCCUGAAUUAAGAAAUCACAUACUCAAGUCUUAAUCGUUGUCAUCAUACCGUGUGAGAACCGAGGAAGAAUCUUUGCUCUUAGACUGGAUUUUGUAGUCUUUCUUUAACAAUUACAAGUUAUCUGAAUUCCCUUCAUCCUCCUAUAUAAUAUUGUUUUUGGUCUUGUUCUUGUUGCAUUGUGGCUAGGCAUCUCCAUGGGAGGAAGGAGGAUGAAUCAAGUUCCUUUGUAUGAAUCAAUUUCUCUGCUCUUUUUUUUUUCAAUCCUUGAAUCGAAUCAUUGCUUAGUUCUUGCUUUAAUUUCUCCAUUUUCUGUUGGGUCUUUGAUUGCAGGUUUAGCUCUGCAAGAAAACUGGGAAAUUUAAUUGUGACCUCCAAUCUAAUCGACUCUGCUUUGACUAAAAUUCUUGAGCUUCAAAGAGACCAAACAGCCUUGCCUUCCCCCGUUCAAUACAGAGUUUUUUAUCCAUCUCCCAACUGCACAAUUGUAGCUUUUGUCUCUUCACCUGACUGCACUCAAAACCCUCUUCCUGGACAAGGAGAUUUAGUUCCCUCUCCUCUCUUUGACUUCCUCUGCACCGAAGAAUACAAGUCCGUCUCCAUUAACAGAGCUGCAUUAACCCUCUUUACCUCUCUCCACGAUCAUCUCUCUGGACUAAAAACUCAGGUCAAAAUAUGAUAGUUGUUUUUAUUUUCGUUUCCUUUUUGUUAACAAUUGGGAGACAUGAAACAGCUUGACCAUGAGAUCUCUCUCAUAGAGUCAAACUACCUGAAGAAGAAGAAGACGUUACACAUAUCCAUCUGCGCUGCAUCAUCGCAUUACCCAUUGAUCGGUUGUGAUUCAACUCUUAAUAGGAAGACAGUAGAACUGGUGUUGGUAUCUGUUUUUAGAUCAGCUUAUAUGUAUCUUGUUGCUAAAAAGGGAAUGUUUAGAAGUGAGAUUAAUGGGAUUAUUCUGACAUGGAUUUCAUAUGGUUACCUGUUUUGCAGUUGACUGUGAUUGAAGGUCGAUUAAUCAUUACUGGGUACUCGAUGGGAGGAUCCGUUGCUUCUCUCUUCACCUUAUGCCUGUUAGAAGUCAUCAAUUUAUCAAAACCCAAAUGCCGCCCCAUUUGUAUCACCUUUGGUUCACCCCUCAUAGGCGACUUUGGCCUCCAACACUCCAAUUGGAAUUCUUUCUUCUUGCAUGUAGUGUCCAACCAAGAUCUAGUCCCCGGACUCUUCCUCCCAUCCGACAGAUCUCCUCCCACAUCCUCCCAUUCACAAACUACUGGUUACAAGCCCUUUGGGACAUAUCUCUUGUGCUCUGAACUUGGUUGUGCUUGUUUUGACAACUCUGAUUUAAUUUUGGAAUUGCUGAAAGUCAUAUCAUCAGAGGUUGCCAGAGGAUUGCGGGAUGUUGAUUACAGGAAGAUUUUAAGAAACCUCAAGGAGAGGGCAAUCUGCAAGGGACUUCCGCAGGUGGGUGAAAGGUUUGCAAAUCCAUUUUCAGCUGGGAUCAUCAUGGAACUUGAGACGAUUGGAUUUAAUGAAACAAAGGUAAACAGCUUUCUCCCAUCUACUGAUGUUAUGGAACAUGGUUUACACAUCAUUAAAUACUGCAACAACUGCCCUAUUUAGAUUUAGGGCAAUGAUGAAAAUAUCAGUAAUCACGGAUAUAUCAGUAUUUCGAUUUUACGGAUAUAUCGGAUAUAUCGGAGAUAUAUCGGUAGAUAUUUUGAAAAAAAAUAUCGGCAAGCUUAAAAUUGUUAAAAACUCAUGAAAAUAUAAGAAAAUCUCAUAAUAAUAUAAUUAAAAGUAUAAUAGACAUUUUAAAGUUAUUUUAUUGAAAAUUUUGAUAUAUGUAUAACAUGAUUUAUCAUAUUUGAUAAUAAUAUCGUAUGCGUCGAUAAAAAUAUGAAUUUUAUAAGUGUACAUUUAUUAUUAAAUUACACCUAAUAUUAUGAUAUCUGAUUAUAAUAUGUCUAAUUUUAAAAUAUAUAUUAGUAUUAAAAUAUGAUCCAUUUAAUUCAAUUGUAUUAAACAAUAUAAAAUAAAUAAUGAUAUAUAUAUAUAUAUAUAUAAUUUUUUAAUAUUUAAUUAAUUAUUAAUGAUAUUAAAAACAUUAUGAAGAAAAUUAUAUAAUUUUUUAAUUUUUGGUAAUUAAUUAAAAGACUUUGCAUUUAAUUAUAAAUUAAUUAUAAUUAAUUUACUCUUUAAAAUAUUCUUAUAUUUUCUUUAUAUAAUGAAUUUAAGUAUAUAUAUAGUUGUUGCAUAUUAUAUAUUAAAGGACAACUUAGCCCAAGUGGUAAGCGAGUGAACCCCAAUGUGAGGCAUUGUAGCACGUGCACUGUAGCAUCACUGUAGCGACUCUGACUUUCGUUGACCCGCAUUGACUACACGAUAUAUCGGAGAAAAAUCACUGAUUUAUCGCCAAAUCACCAAUAAAUCGCCGAUUUCUCGCGAUAAAUACCAAAAUAUAGUGUCGAAACCCUUCGAUACACGAUUUUUCGGCGCAUUUUCUUACUUGGAUUUACCUUUUUGUUCUUUGGGAUCUUCCAUGACUCAUUUUUUAAUGCCAUUUUAUUUUCCUUUUUGUUUCUAAAUUUUUAAAAAAUCGUUUUCACUUCUUUUUUUUAAGAAAAUUUUGGCAAAUUUUGAAAAUAUAAUAUUAGUGUUUUCACUUCUUUCUUUUUUUUUUUUUUCUUUUUUUUUUUAAACUCAAUUUUCUAAAAAAUGAAAAUAGAAAAACAUUGUCUAAACAUGUUUGUAAACUUAAUUUUAUUUUUUUAUAAAUGAAAAAAAAAAUCUAAAUGAGUAAGGCUUUAUUAAUUUUAAUUUUUUUCUUUUCCUUAUAUUUUCUUAUUUUAUUCCAAAUUUUCUUGCAACCAAACAUAAUCUAAAUGUUUACAACUUUUAUUGUAAGGAAUGAAUGACACUACUUUGUGAACUUUUAUGAUAAUAUUUUGAAUCAUAAAUUGUGUUUUUUUUAGUAAUAUCAAUUUUAUUACCAAUGACUUAAUUGUUAAUAACAAAAUAUAAUAUUUAUAAAUAUUUUUAUUCUCAACAGGCUACAAUUUUUACUCUUGUGAUAAAAAAAAUUUUGUCAUAAAUUACACAUUAUGAUGAGUUUUUCUAUUUUCCUUAUCAGCCAAUUCAACAAAUAUCAUAUAUAUUGUAAUGGCUAACAAAUUUUCACAUAAAUUUUUUAUAAGAUAAAGUAGAAUGGAAUUAUUCAAUUUCAAAAAAAAAAAAAAUGGUACCUAAUGAAAAAGAUAAAAUAUAUAGAUCAUCUCGAAGAAAUCAGGAAAGAUAAAUGAUGAGACCAUAUAUAGGACCCUUGAUGGAGACUAUUUUAAUUGAAGUGGUGUGCUCCUUCCGACUCAGAACAUGUUCAGCAUUGCACACAAACUAACAUCGUCGAUCUUGAGUAUGAAAAAGGUGAUUAGAUUCCAAGGUUGUCGUUUGUCCCAACUCCUCAUAUUAGAGGUGAUGCUCAAGCUAACGUGCCUCGCAGUUGAGCCCCGGCCAAUCGGUCUAAUAUGCUUUUCCAAUGGUGAGUUUCACUGCCACCAUGUAUUACAUUAAUUCCGAUAGCGCACAAGUUGUGUUUGUGCUAUUGCUUUUUGCCCUCACAAACAUAUACACAAGAGACAUUCAGACCAGAUCUGUUCUACCAUCCUCUAGGAAAGCAUUGUAGGUCAUUUGAAAUUGGGAUUUCAGCACCAGAGUCAAAUUGCCUUCCUUCCUGAAAGAUGAGCAUUUUUUAUACUCUUACAUCGGCUUUUAUGGAAAUGAAAUCAGCUUCUCAUUCUGUUACAUUUUUCAAUUUUGCUGCCUAUAACUGCUCACUGCCUGUUUGUGAGACAUUAUCCAGAUUUUCCCUGAUCAAUUAUAGAGAGGUCAUUGGACUCAUCCAUGAUUGGAAUUUCCUGUUAUCAUUAUUUGCAAAUCAUCAACCAUUUGUCAUGAUAUCUUAAGUUAAGCUGAGCACGAAUUUCAGCUAAGAUCCUCAGAACUAGAAAUAUGCACUGCAGGUAUUACUUGAUAUGUGAAUAUCCAAUACAAUAUUUUUUUACUAAGAGGAAUACGAAUUUGAAACACUUUCCAAUAAUUUAUCAAGUCAUAUUUUCGUGCUGUCGUGAUACAUGUGUCUACUGUAUGCAUGGCUUUUCUUUUCUACACAUGCCUUUAUCUUUGCACAUGACUCUUUUGAUACACGCCAGCAUCAAGGCAAUUGCCUAAAUCUAAAUCACAUCCUUUGUGUCACGUCUUCCUUGUUACCACGGUCCUCUUGUACACCAUGGUCCCUUAAUGUAACUUGUGCCACAAGCCCUUUGUGCAUGAAUUCAAAUUGUUCAAUCAUUUCGCCAUUUACACCUUUUAAGGUCCAAUAAGCGUAUACAAGAGACUACACUCAUUCUAGAUGAUAAAGUACAUUCAACUAACUACUCUUGCUAAUGAGCAUAUCCAAGUCAAUACAUAAGAUUAAUUAUUACAUAUGGUAAUUGAAACCCUGUUUAAAUAAAUAGUGACACAAAUAUAAAAAAUAUAUAUAUUUAAAAAUAAAUAAAUAACAAUUUAGAGAAUUUCAUAACUUAGUAUCAAACCUAUUGUAGGAAAGAGUAUUAUACAAUGUAGGGUUUAGGAUCAAAGUUAACCUAAGAUCAAUUUUAAGUUUUAAGACCAAUUCAAAUUCAAAACUAAGGUUUUAAGUUUCAAAAAUAUAUCUCUUAAACCAAUUAAAUAGAAAAAAGAAAAUUACAAAGAAAAUUUCUUCCUCAUCGGUUUCUUUUAUCUUGAAAACUAAAGGAAAUAUAUAUCAAUAUUUGAGAUGGAAAUUCAUAAUCUUAGAAACACAAAGAACAAAGAGAGUAUGAAGAGACCAUACCAUGAGAGAUUUUCCAAAAGGUUGGUAAACCAUGGUAAUCACCUUUGAGUUUUGCUGAGAAAAACAAACCUUAAUUUUUAUUUUUAUUUUUUUAUCAUUUUUUCUCUUGUGGUGUACAUUUAAGAAAAACAAAUCUUAAAAAAAAAAAAAAAAAAACCAAAUAAUGCCAGAAUUUGGGUUGAGAAACACCCAAAAGAUAGUGGCCCAAUACAUGUGCCUAAGAAAAUCUUCAUGAGCCGAUAAACAUAGUCACAAAACUAGUAACAGCCUUGUAGCCAUAGUUGGUGUAGUAUGAGCAAGUGGGGUAUGAAGUAGGUAGGUGAGUAUUGCAAUGAAAUUUCCAGCACUGCUUCCUGAAUUAAGAAAUCACAUACCCAAGUCUUAGUCGUCGUCGUCGUACCGUGUGAGAACCGGGAAGAAUCUUUGCUCGUAGAGUGGCUUUUGUAGUCUUUCUUUAACAAUUACAAGUUAUCUGAAUUCCCUUCAUCCUCCUAUAUAAUAUUGUUUUUGGUCUUGUUCUUGUUGCAUUGUGGCUAGGCAUCUCCAUGGAAGGAAGGAGGAUGAAUCAAGUUCCUUUGUAUGAAUCAAUUUCUCUGCUCUUUUUCUUUUCAAUCCGUGAAUCGAAUCAUUGCUUAGUUCUUGCUUUAAUUUCUCCAUUUUCUGUUGGGUCUUUGACUGCAGGUUUAGCUCUGCAAGAGAACUGGGAAAUUUAAUGGUGACCUCCAAUCUAAUCGACUCUGCUUUGACUAAAAUUCUUGAGCUUCAAAGAGACCAAACAGCCUUGCUUUCCUCCGUUCAAUACAGAGUUUUUUAUCCAUCUCCCAAGUGCACAAUUGUAGCUUUUGUCUCUUCACCUGACUGCACUCAAAACCCUCUUCCUGGACAAGGAGAUUUAGUUCCGUCUCCUCUCUUUGACUUCCUCUGCACCGAAGAAUACAAGUCCGUCUCCAUUAACAGAGCUGCAUUAACCCUCUUUACCUCUUUCCACGAUCAUCUCUCUGGACUAAAAACUCAGGUCAAAAUAUGAUAGUUGUUUUUAUUUUCGUUUCCUUUUUGUUAACAAUUGUGAGACAUGAAACAGCUUGACCAUGAGAUCUCUCUCAUAGAGUCAAACUACCUGAAGAAGAAGAAGACGUUACACAUAUCCAUCUGCGUUGCAUCAUCGCAUUACCCAUUGAUCGGUUGUGAUUCAACUCUUAAUAGGAAGACAGUAGAACUGGUGUUGGUAUCUGUUUUUAGAUCAGCUUAUAUGUAUCUUGUUUCUAAAAAAGGUAAGUUUAGAAGUGAGAUUAAUGGGAUUAUUCUGACAUGGAUUCCAUAUGGUUACCUGUUUUGCAGUUGACUCAGAUUGAAGGUCAAUUAAUCAUCACUGGGCACUCCCUGGGAGGAUCCGUUGCUUCUCUCUUCACCUUAUGCCUGCUAGAUGGAAAUUUAUUAAAACCCAACUGCCGCCCCUUUUGUAUCACCUUUGGUUCACCCCUCAUCGGCGGCUUUGGCCUCCAACACUCCAUAUGGAAUUCUUUCUUCCUGCAUGUAGUGUCUAACCAAGACCCAGUCCCCGGUCUCUUCCUCCCAUCUGGCAGAGGCAGAUCUACGCCCACAUCCUCCCAUUCACAAACUACCGGUUACAAGCCCUUUGGGACAUAUCUCUUGUGCUCUGAACUUGGUUGUGCUUGUUUGGAAAAGCCUGAUUUAAUUUUGGGAUUGCUGAAAGUCAGAUCAUCCGAGGUUGCCGGAGGAUUGCAGGAUGUUGAUUAUGGGGAGAUUUUAAGAAACCUCAAGGAGAGGGCAAUCUGCAAGGGACUUCAGCAGGUGGGUGAAAGGUUUGCAGAUCCUUUUACAGCUGGGAUCAUCAUGGACCUUGAGAUAAUUGGAUUUGAUCAAACAAAGGUAAACAGCUAGCUUUCUCCCAUCUAAUGAUGUUAUGAAACAUGGUUUACACUUCACCAAAUACUGCAACAACUGCCCUAUUUAGAUUUGCCGUCUUGUUCUUUGGGAUCUUCCAUAACUAGACUCAUUUUUUAAUUUCAUGGCAGCUGCUGCAGCAUAACAUUGAUAUCGAGACUGUGAUAAGCACAAUGGAAGAGGAAGCCAGAAACCCAACCAAAAAAAAUAAAGCUUUCGAUGCCAAGAUUCUGAAUCACAAAAAAAAAGACAUGGCCGGGCUAGAAUGGUAUAAGAAGAAAUCAAAAGAUCUGAACAAGGGUUACUACGACUGCUUCAAAAACCAGGGGUCAAAAAGGGACAUUAAAAUUGAACAGUAUGGGGGACACCUCACAUUAUACUGGAAAGACAUGGUUGCACAAGUACAGAGGAAGCCCCAGAAGGAAGGAGCAACAUUUCGAACCCGUUGGCUCUAUGCAGGGACGGUUUAUAGAAGAAUGGUUGAACCACUGGACAUUGCUGCCUUCUACGUAGAGGGUGGAACAGACUACAUGAAGAAUGAAAGAUCUCUUCAUUACAAGCUGUUGCAGCAAUGGUAUGAGGAAGAUGUGAAACCCCCCUCUAAGGAUAAGCUUGAUUCCAAGAAGCAAAAGGUGUCUGGUAUCCUAACUGAGGAUUCUUGCUUUUGGGCACAUGUGGAGGAGGCUAUCUUGUCAUGCGAAUUGCUUAAGAGUGAAAACUGUACUCUUGAGCAGGAAAAAUCAUCAUGGGAUAAUCUGGUUAAGUUCGAGGAGUAUGUAAUGGAACAGAUUAACAACUAUGCAGUGUCCCCUGAGAUUUUCUUGGGGGAAAGCAGCUUCAUGAAAUGGUGGGGACUGUAUGAGGGCUACAUAUAUGCUCGCAGUAAUUCCCAUAGGUCACCAUUGAUCAGCUUUAUGAAGAACGGUAGUUAUACAGAGUAUCGUUAGAGGGGUAAUCCAGUUUGUGUGUUGUGUGUAUUGUUUUGUGAGCAUUCAAUGGAUAGAACUAGAAAGAGUGUGACCUUUUUCCUUUUUUUCUUCUAGUUGCUGCCCAUAUUCUCAGCACUAUUUUCUUCCUUCUUUUCCUCAGUUUUUUCUUAAGAAAUGAAUAUUAUGAUGUUGCUGGGAUGCACUUUCAUUUUUGUUCCAUUACAUUGUGUUUUAUUCAUAUCCUAAACAAAUAAAUGUAAACAAGAAAAUCAAAUAAGACUUCAAAGAGUCUGUUCCUUUUAAAGCAAGGGAAAAAAAGGACAUGUUUGUUUACUUCCACAGCUGGGUAGAUUCAACUCCACCAAAAUUGGCAACAACUUCCCAUUGAAAAAUUCCUUCUAAGCUUGAAUGACAUAAAACUAGAUAUGUUCCAGCUAGAAUGGUACAAAAAAGAAAUCAAAAGAUGAGCACAAUGGGUUAUUAUGACAGCUUUAGAAACCAUCUUACAACACAUCCAUCAGAAUUUAGACUAUUCAUAGAAACAUUCUUAACAUGUAAAUCUACUAUUGCCAUGCACGUCAACAUAGAAUUUCUAAAAUGAUUGAAUAAAAUAAAUAAAACAAAAGAAACCCUUCCAAGAGAAUUUCAUAAUCUAAUGUCAAAUCUAUUACGAAGAUGAACAUGUAAAAUUUAAGGUUUAUAAUCAAAGUCGACUUGAAUCUGAGUUUUAAAACCAAUUUGCAGUUUUUAAGUUUGGAGACUAGAUCUCUUAAACCAAUUAAAUGUAAAAAACUAAAAAGAAAACUUCUUCAAAUUUUGAAAUGAGAAUGAGAAUGCAAUUCCUAACUAGUUUCUUCAUCAAAAAUCCCGAAAAAAAAAAAAAAAGAAGAGAGAGAGAGACCAUAGACGCCAGUGUUUGGGUUUAGAACCACCCAAGAGAGAGUAGUCCAAUAUAUGGGCUUAAGAAAAUCCUCAUGGGCCUAAGCUAAGACUAGGAACAAUCUUGUAUCCGUGGUUGGUUUAGUAUGAGCAUGUGUACUGCGAAGGAAGUAGCUGAGAAUUGCAAUGGAAUUUCCAGUACUGCUUCCUGAACGAACAAAUCGCAUACCCAAGAUUUGGUCGUCAACGCCAUGCUGGGUGAGAACCGGGGAAGCAUCUUCGCUCGUUGACGAGCUUUUGUAGUCCUUCUUUAACAAUUAUAAGGCAUCUGAAUUCCCUUCAUCCUCCCACACCAUUGUUUUUGGUCUUGUUCUUGUUGCUUUGUGACUACGCAUCUCCAUGGAAGGAAGGAGGAUGAACCAAGUUCCUUUGUAUGCAUCAAUUUUACUGUUUUUUUUUUCCUUUUUAAUCUUUGGAUCGAAUCAUUGCUUAGUUCUUGCUUAAUUUCUCCAUUUUAUGUUGGGUCUUUGAUUGCAGGUUUAGCUCUGCGCGAGAACUGGGAAAUUUAAUUGUGACCUCCAAUCUAAUCGACUCUGCUUUGACUAAAAUUCUUGAGCUUCAAAGAGACCAAACAGCCUUGCCUUCCCCCGUUCAAUACAGAGUUUUUUAUCCAUCUCCCAAGUGCACAAUUGUAGCUUUUGUCUCUUCACCUGACUGCACUCAAAACCCUCUUCCUGGACAAGGAGAUUUAGUUCCCUCUCCUCUCUUUGACUUCCUCUGCACCGAAGAAUACCCUUCCGUCUCCAUUAACGGAGCCGCAUUAACCCUCUUUACCUCUCUCUACGAUCAUCUCUCUGGACUAAUAGAUGAGGUCAAAAUCUGAUACUUGUUUUAAUUUACGUUAACUUUUCGUUAACAAUUGUGAGACACGUAUAUAUAUAUAUAUAUAUAUAUAUCUUGUGGAUAAAAGGAAAGUUUACAAGUGAGAAUAGUGGCAUUUUUCUGACAGAUUUCACACCGUUGCUUGUUUUGCACUUGACUGUGAUUGAAGGUCGAUUAAUCAUCACUGGGCACUCGAUGGGAGGAUCCGUUGCUUCUCUCUUCACCUUAUGCCUGCUAGAAGUCAUUAAUAUAUCAAAACCCAAAUGCCGCCCCAUUUGCAUCACAUUUGGUUCACCCCUCAUAGGCGACUUUGGCUUCCAACACUCCAAUUGGA
rnacentral:lncRNA from 1 species